rnacentral:tRNA from 2 species
AGGAAAGAUGGCCGAGUGGUCGAAGGCGUAGCAUUGGAAAUGCUAUGUAGACUUACGUUUACCGAGGGUUCGAAUCCCUCUCUUUCCUU